rnacentral:rRNA from 1 species
CUGCCCUUGGGUCCGGCAUAACCCCGGGAAACUGGGGAUAAUUCCGGAUAACGCACAUAUGCUGGAAUGCUUUAUGCGUCAAAUGGAUUCGUCUGCCCAAGGAUGGGUCUGCGGCCUAUCAGGUAGUAGUGGGUGUAAUGUACCUACUAGCCGACGACGGGUACGGGUUGUGAGAGCAAGAGCCCGGAGAUGGAUUCUGAGACAUGAAUCCAGGCCCUACGGGGCGCAGCAGGCGCGAAAACUUUACAAUGCGGGAAACCGUGAUAAGGGGACACCGAGUGCCAGCAUCAUAUGCUGGCUGUCCGGGUGUGUAAAAUACACCUGUUAGCAAGGGCCGGGCAAGACCGGUGCCAGCCGCCGCGGUAACACCGGCGGCCCGAGUGGUGAUCGUGAUUAUUGGGUCUAAAGGGUCCGUAGCCGGUUUGGUCAGUCCUCCGGGAAAUCUGACGGCUUAACCGUUAGGCUUUCGGAGGAUACUGCCAGGCUUGGAACCGGGAGAGGUAAGAGGUACUACAGGGGUAGGAGUGAAAUCUUGUAAUCCCUGUGGGACCACCUGUGGCGAAGGCGUCUUACCAGAACGGGUUCGACGGUGAGGGACGAAAGCUGGGGGCACGAACCGGAUUAGAUACCCGGGUAGUCCCAGCCGUAAACGA